UGCGCCCCAAAGCGGGAGGGCCCUGCGAGAAGGGAGGCCCUGGCUGGAGGGGGACCCUGAGACUGGAGGUGCCGGACCCGGAUGCGGGGCCAGAUGGAGACAACAGGAAGGAAAGAGACCUUCCUGGUCACACUUGGGCCACAGGAGAACAGGCAGCGGCCCAGGAGGAUCCAGGGUCCUGAUGGUGGUUGAGAAGCUGGUUCUUAGUGAUCACUCAGAAACGUCGGCCUGGCCUUGUGGGGUCAGACCUUGCAUCUCAGUCAGCCCAGGGAGAAGAAGAAGAUGGUCCACACCCAAGUGCAGGGAACAUCGUGGCAGUCGGCUGGGUGCCUGCGUCCAGGCGAGGACACCUCCCGCAUCAGGGAAACACACGUUUCUGGAGUGAGGAGGCUGAAGGCAGGGCCCAGAGGAGAGCUGAGCCAUGGAAGGAGGUGUGUGCAUGGAUGGUGAGCUAGAGCAGGUGCAGGUGCCUCAGGGAGGAUGUGUGGGACGAACUGACUCAGGGAACCAUAAGAAAUGCUUUCACCAAACAGGAGAAACCUGAAGGUCUGGGUCCAGAGCCUCAGAUCUUACACUGGCAGCACACAGGGACACAACAGUUGGACUGGCAGCAACAGGGCUUGCAGCAGCUGGACUGGCAGCACACGGGGACACAGCAGCUGGACUGGCAGCAGCAGGGCUUGCAGCAGCUGGACUGGCAGCAGGAUGAUCCACAGCCUGAGGAGCAGCAACAGGGCUUACAACAGCUGGACUG
ensembl:lncRNA KRTAP5-AS1 KRTAP5-1/KRTAP5-2 antisense RNA 1